rnacentral:rRNA from 1 species
GACGGAGGAUGCAAGUGUUAUCCGGAAUUACUGGGCGUAAAGCGUGCGCAGGCGGUUUUGUAAGUCUGAUGUGAAAUCCCCGGGCUCAACCUGGGAAUUGCAUUGGAGACUGCAAGGCUAGAAUCUGGCAGAGGGGGGUAGAAUUCCACGUGUGAGCAGUGAAAUGCGUAGAGAUGUGGAGGAACACCGAUGGCGAAGGCAGCCCCCUGGGUCAAGUGUAGACUCUCAUGCACGAAAGCGU